GCCAGAGCCCUUCGCAGGCCUCGCUGCUUGGCCUCAGGCACGUUGUGGUGGGGACAGCAGCGGGAAGGGGGACACACGCCGUGGACACGGGUUCCCCGUGUUGUGACACACGCCCCGGCUCGCACGGAAGCAGGCAGCAGCUGCUUGGGGAUGGAAGUUUAGUACCAAAUGCCAUCACGUUUAAAGCAGUACUGACCAAGGACCAGCUUACUUUGCAGGAGGCCCUGCAGAGCAGGGGCUGGCGGCCUGCCAGCACCAGGAAGAGGUUUUCCGGGCUGGGACUCGUCUCAGCUGAGCUGUAGCCAUACAUGAGAACGUCCAGACACCUUUUCAGAAACCGUAUGGUCACUUCCCAUGGGGUACAGGCCUGGAACUGGGGCUUUGUCUGCAGAUCGGGCCUUGCUUUUGGGUGACAUGUGGCUCUGGAUCACAAAAAGCUGACUCUGAUACCAGGGCUAAUUUAGAGACAAAUACAGAACAUGCCUGCAUGCUUCCCCCUUUUUAGCUAACAGAAAUUGCUGGCCAUAUAACUAUGAUGGAGAUGGAUUCAGAUUAAUCUGUUUCAAUCCAGAUGUGGCUGGACUAAAAUAGUGAGUAAAAAUAAAAUCCUCGUGUAAAUAAGAAGUUGAAAAUGGAAGAACUGGGCAUCUGGAGCAGUAAGUGGUCUAAUUGCUUAA